rnacentral:tRNA from 1 species
GGGCUCGUGGUCCAGUUGGUUAAGACGCUUCCCUCACGCGGAAGAGAUCGCCGGUUCAAAUCCGGCCGGGCCCACCA